GAUGAACGCUGACAGAAUGCUUAACACAUGCAAGUCAACUUGAACUUCGGUUUGGGUGGCGGACGGGUGAGUCACGCGUAACGAACUUGCCUCACAGAUAGGGACAACAUUUGGAAACGAAUGCUAAUACCUGAUAUUAUGAUUUUAGGGCAUCCUAGGAUUAUGAAAGCUAUAUGCGCUGUGAGAGAGCUUUGCGUCCCAUUAGCUAGUUGGAGAGGUAACGGCUCACCAAGGCGAUGAUGGGUAGCCGGCCUGAGAGGGUGAUCGGCCACAAGGGGACUGGGACACGGCCCUUACUCCUACGGGAGGAAGAGUGGGGAAUAAUUGGAAAAUGGACCAAGAGUCAGGUAGAGAAAUUCUGUGUGGAAGAUGAAGUUUUUCGGAAUGUAAAGUGGUUUCAGUUGGGAAGAAAAAAAUGACGGUACCAACAGAAGAAGUGACGGCUAAAUACGUG
rnacentral:rRNA from 1 species